CGAAACAUACUGAUAUAAGAGCGAGUCUUAAUAUGAAAGAGUGAACCAAGUAUUAAUCCAUGUUGUCAUGUCAUCACGUGAUAUGUACUUGGUUUAUUUCUAUGGAGCCACGUGGGCUUCGGUACACGCAAAACAUCGCCAUUAAAACAGCCUUGUCCCGCGUAAUUAAUGGGCGCGAUUUAAAUCUCAGGAAAUUGGGACCGGUCAAUAAUUGCAGUGAGAAGGGGCGAGAGGGAGAGGAUGGUCCGAUCUCAGUCUGUUUCAAUUUUGAAAAUUUGAAGCAAUUUCCGAGAAAAGUGGGACCCGGCGGCUCACUAUAAUACAAAGAACCAAAAAUGGAGGAUCAAUCGAGUUGAAGAUGGUGCUACUGCUACGUUUUCCAUUACUUCCUCUAUUUUCCAUACAGAGACUUACUUGCCAACCACCGCCAAACUACCAAUUAAUGGGGUUUUCCCUGCCGGUGUGGGCAAAAAUUUUUAGGUAAACGUGUCUAAGCUAGGGCACCUACCACUGUUAUCUCUUUGCUAGACCUCGCUAAGGUCUAAUUUGAGAUUUUAAUCUGAAUGCAGUCAAAUCUAAAUUAGACCAAUUUAAAAAUUGAAUUCAAAUGUGACGAAUGGAUAAUUAAUUUGGUUUUUUUUGUUGAUGGAUAGAUUGAAAGGAAACAAUUAAUGAAAAAGUAGGUCAAAUGACUACUGAACAAUAUUGCCCAUUUUCGUACAAAUGUCCAAGGAGUGCAUUGCAUUGUAACUUUCAACCGACAAAAAUAAGAAAAAAGAAAGGUUGAAGCAAAGAAAAAAAGAAGAUCCAUACCUCGAAGCAAUGGAGAUAAGGAGUUGUGGAGCACCUGACGCUACCCAGAUGAUCAGAGAGGAAAUUGAUACGUGUCAAAAUGGAAAAGAAGAAGGGCUGUGUGACAAUGUCAACUAAUUUAUUGCAUUGGAAGAUGAGAUUUGAGAUUAUUAGUCAUUACAUAGAUAAUAAUGGCAGGAGGGCUGCGUUGAAGAAUGGUUCUUUAGCACAUGGCCAAGUUUUUCUAUAUAUUUUCUCGCAUUUCCUUCCCAUGCCUCCUUUCGAGCUUUUUCUGCUAUGGAACUGCAUCAGCAAUCACUUGCCACCAUGUUUUGGAACAGCCAGGGGAAAUUUUAAAGUUUGC
rnacentral:lncRNA from 1 species